UGGGGAAUAUUGCACAAUGGGCGCAAGCCUGAUGCAGCGACGCCGCGUGAGGGAUGACGGCCUUCGGGUUGUAAACCUCUUUCAGCAGGGACGAAGCGCAAGUGACGGUACCUGCAGAAGAAGCACCGGCCAACUACGUGCCAGCAGCCGCGGUAAUACGUAGGGUGCAAGCGUUGUCCGGAAUUACUGGGCGUAAAGAGCUCGUAGGCGGUUUGUCGCGUCGUCUGUGAAAACCAGCAGCUCAACUGUUGGCUUGCAGGCGAUACGGGCAGACUUGAGUAUUUCAGGGGAGACUGGAAUUCCUGGUGUAGCGGUGAAAUGCGCAGAUAUCAGGAGGAACACCGGUGGCGAAGGCGGGUCUCUGGGAAAUAACUGACGCUGAGGA
rnacentral:rRNA from 1 species